rnacentral:rRNA from 1 species
UACAGAGGGUGCGAGCGUUGUCCGGAAUCACUGGGCGUAAAGGGCGCGUAGGCGGCCUGUUAAGUCGAACGUGAAAUCCCCGGGCUCAACCCGGGAACUGCGUCCGAUACUGGCAGGCUUGAAUCCGGGAGAGGGAUGCGGAAUUCCAGGUGUAGCGGUGAAAUGCGUAGAUAUCUGGAGGAACACCGGUGGCGAAGGCGGCAUCCUGGACCAACACUGACACUGAGGAGCGAAAGCCAGGGGAGCAAACGGG